rnacentral:lncRNA from 1 species
AAUUUACAUUGGCUUCUUGAAUUGAAUUAGAGAAUUGGAUUAUUGUUUUUAUAUAAACCUGUGGACCAGAUUCGUGGUCAUGUUAGGCCAAUGAGUGCCUUGGAUCCAGUGAUAGAGCAUGGCGGGGCCUGCUCGGGGUUAGUGCGGAACUGAUCAGCUGCCUAACCUUGGUUUUAAUUAAAAUGUGAUAGUCCAAUUCAAUAAUUCUUUGGAAAGAUUGAAUUUCUCAGUUUAAAUGCUGCAAGGUAUUGUAAAUUAUUCUAUACAAUACCAUGAACUCAUGAACUCAGGUUGAAUCCUUUUAUAUCUUGAACUCGUGAACUUCUAUUAUAUCAUUUCAGAACUAUCAUUGUUUAUUAUUACUUGCUGAGCAUUGUUGCUCACCCUUGCUAUUCCUUUCUAACCAUUUCAGAAAGGCUUAAAGAUGAGAUGAUGGAUUGAGAUUGUGAAUAAGGCUAAUGCUAGGCGAGGAGACAGAGUUGAGGAUCCAGUGGUCGAGGAGUGUUCAGGAAAGUUGAUGAGGUUGGUGCAAGCUGGAAUAGUUGACAGUGAUUCUUCUUAUCGAAGAUGAUCUGAUUUGGUAAGAGAUGUUGUGUAAUAAUAGUGGUAGAUUCUAAUUUCAAUACUGUAACCUGGAAGCGAUCCUGUUGUUUUGGGGGUGAAGAUGUUCUCUUUUAAAUCUUUUAUUUAACGUCUUUCAAAUCUUUUAUUAAAUGUUUUCAAGUUUUAAAUUCUCUGAAUUUCACGUUUUAAAUUCUUUUGGGUUUAAUUAUCUUUAAUAAUAAAAAAAAAAAAUAUACAGGAUUUCAAAAGUGUUUAAAAAUAGGUUUUAUGUGGUGACGUCAGAAUCCAGACCCCCGGAUUCCUGGACUGUCACAGUUGGUAUCAGAGCGACAGGUUACAAGUUAUUGAAAUUUGAAUAUAGAUUAUAGUCUUAAGUUUUCUAGAGAAGAAUGUUGUGUGACCUCAUAUAGAGGUAUUGUGAGACUAUGUAGAAAUAGUAUAGAGAUGUGAUAGAGGUGUAGAAUCUGGUUGGACGAUCAAGUUGAGUGUAGAAGUUUAGAGAGAUUUUGAUUCUUAAGUUUAGACAUAGGAUUUCUAGUUUGUUGACAAAUUGAGAUGAUGAAUUGUGUGAAAGGUCAAGAUUAGACCUAGAUAGAAGAGUUUGAUAGUAAAUGAUUGAGUUGAGAAUGGUGAAAAUGCAGAGUUCAGAGUAUUCUGACUAUACUGCAUAGCUGAAAAUGGUCCAGUGUAUUGAUUUGAGAAUGAUAAAGAUGCAUGGUUCAUAGUAUGUUGACCAUGUCAGAUAUUUGGAAGAUGUAUAUGAUUUUAGUGAUAUAUGAAGAGUUAGUGUAGAAUAUGAGUUGUGUUGAAUCAGAAGGAGAGAUUUGUAGAUAGAGGUUGAUAGAUGAGAAGUGCAUGAUAGAGAGUAAGUGAAGUUGAUUCAGGUUAUUAGAAGCGAUAUUUGCGAGUAAUUUAGAAUGUUAAUUCUCACGACGACGUUUUAAGUUAAGCGGGACAAGGUGGGCCCAUAACCCACAGGGCGACAAUUCAGAAAAUCGAAGAUAUGCUACGUGUUGUGCUAUGGACUUCAAAGGCAACUGGAUGAAGCAUGAGAACGUGAACUACUUGGGCCAGACUUAUUACGAACGAUAACGUCUAUGAUGACAUUUUACGAAGCUAUUGCGAGUCAAAUCGAUUGAUUAUCAAGAACGUUGAAAAGAAAACAUAUAUCGAACAAUGAUUUAUUGAAGUAGAGUCGGAAUCUGAGAAGACCUUGGCAAUACCUCUUUUCAACUAAAGAUUCUUUUGAUUGUUUUCUCAUCAGUGAGAUAUUAUCAUGAUAUCUUUUCUACAAAAGUUUUGAUAAAUGAGAUCUUUAAUUUCUCAAAUUCUAAGAUGACAUUGAUAUUGAUUAUUGGUAUGAGUUGGAAAGCAAAGAUGUGUGGUGAAGGUUGUUGUGAAGAGAUAGUGAUGUUCCUUGAUAUUGUUUGAUAUUUCUUGACAUUCCUUGAUAUUCUUUCAUCAUCCUUGAUAUCCCUUGAUGUUCUUUGAUAUUCUCGAGAUUCUUUGAUAUUCUUUGAUAUUCCUUAACAUUUCUUCAAUUUGAUUGGGAUGAACAACCCUAUUUAUAGGGGACACAAGGUAUACCUGUCUGUGUGAUAGGAGUUGGAUGGGACGCCAUCACUUGUGUGUGUUGUGAUUACAAGAAGGUUAACAACCUUUAGUAGUGUCUAAUGUGGACACGCAACACCAAGUUCGUUGAUCAUGUAGAUCUCUCAGUCACUCCUUUAUUCAAAGGUGAUCUACCUUGAAAAUAUCUUGUUCCUCUGAAAUUUCCAAAGAUUGAUUCUUGGGAAAUGAAUUUUGCAAUUGUGAAAGUUGAUUCUCCAAUUUCUUUAAAGCUAAAGGUAUGCCAAGGCCGAUCAAGGGUGAAUGAUGAUACGUUAUUACGAAGCGUAUAGUGAAAUCUUAUAAAUGAUACGUUUUAGUUUUCUUCGCGGAUUCUGAGGACAGAAUCCUUAUAAGGGGGGUAGAAUGUAAUAUCCCAUGUUUUUAAAAUUAGUUGAUGAUUAUUAUAGAUCUAAUAUGUUGAUAUUAUUGUUGGCUUUAAUGGAAUAGUGAUAUGAUUAUGUGAAUAGUGUGAAUGUGAUUAUAUUUGUUAUUUGGAUUAAUAUGGAUUUUACAGAUUUUGCGUCCUCCUUCUUUUUCUGAUUCCGAGGACGGAAUCCCUAUAAGGAGGGUAGAUUGUAAUAACCCGGAUUUUAAAAAUAUUUUUAUUAAUAUUAUAAAUGAUUUUCUUAAAAAGAAAGGAAUAAGAUUUAAUAUUUUAUUCCAGUUUAAGGAGUUUUCAAAAUUUUAUAUUAAACCCCGGGUUAUUGUGUUAUUGAUAAAUGAUUAUAUUUUUAAAACUGAUUUUCAUAUAUUGUUUCGAAAAUUCUAGAUGAUUAUUAUGUGAAUAUAUGUGUGAUGUGAGUAAGUGGUAUUGGUGGAUUUGUUGGUUAAUUAAUUAUGGUUAAUUAUGAGUAUUAUAUGAUUAAUAUAUGAAUUUUUGUGAAUUUUAUAUUAUCUGGUUUAUUGCGUUAACUGCUCAUAUGUGUUCGUAUUUGAGAGAUUUCAAUUUCUAUAUGCUCAGGAGAAAAUAUAGUUUAUUUGGAUAUUUUCAUAUCGAUUUAUGGAAUGUUAGAUGAUUUUAUAAUCGAUUUACGGAUUUAAUUGCGUAUAUUUAUAUUUAUUUAUUAAUUAUUUGACUUCCGUAAAACCGUCCACUCGUAACGAGGUAGCAAAUUUUCUUCCCGGAAGUUUCAACAAAACUCACCUUUAGCCUAAUUUGAAUAUUCCGGACAUUUUUCGUGUUUUGACUUUUUCGAUCCGGAGUACGGUUUUCCCCGGAGUCGGUCCGGCGGAGUUUUUCGGGUAUUUUAAUUGUUGAUAAUUAUCCAGUUUGUCUCGAUAAGCGUGAAACGAGAUAUUUUGAUUAUUAUAUUCAUCCUUAUCUUGUAAUAAUUGCAAUGGGACCCGCAGACCAAUAAUUGAGUUAAAAAGCCCCGUUUUGAUGAUUAUCUCGAAAACCGGUACCGAUUGGACCCCGCUUUAUUAAUAUAAAGCUAUUAAAUACGUAUUUUCAUGUCAUAAACGAUCCAAAGGGGUACCAAUUAUUUGUAAAUAUAAAUAGACUUUCCUGUAACUUAUUUUCACCGUAGAAAUCAUUUCAACAGUUUCUCUGCACGAAUAUCGAGAGAAACCGAGCGGUGUUCUUCGUGUUCUUCAUAAUCAAACGAAGAUUUGAAGGUGUUAUUGGAAUCCGAUGGAGGCGUAUAAAUAGUCAAAACGAAGCUAUCGACGCGUAGAAUCAAGUUUAAUCAUCCGUUUAUAUGCAGAUUCAACAGGUGAUUUUAGAUUAUUUUUCUAAAAUUCGAGUUUAUAUGAUUUAAAUGAUGAAUUUUUGCAAACGAUUCCGUUUAUGUGAUUUGAUGAUUCUAUGAUGUAGAGCAUGUUUUUCUCGUCGUUUUGGUAUAUUAUAUGUCAAAAACGGAGUUCAAUAACAUGUAGAAAAGUCAGUUUGAUUAUUGAAAUUGUGUUCUUGGUGUUCUUGAGCUUGUUGCCGGAAAAGUUUGAAUUUUGGCCGGAAAAUGGGUUCCGCUAAAUCUGGGCAGUAGUGGUAUAUAUGAAUAGAAAGAGGAGAGAAAGGGGAGUAUGCUGGUGUGCUUGGUUUGAGCGGAGGUGGCUCGAAUCGCCGCCAUCGGCGGCGGGAAGUCGCCGACUUCGGCCGGAUUUUCCGGCGAAUUCGCGCGACUUCUGCCUAAUUAAAGAUGGGGGAUUGAUUUAUGGGUGUGUGUACUACUGAUCUGGAGUAGAUGGUGAGUGGAGGACGCCUGGAAACGAAUUUCCGGCGAGUUAGUGUGGUGGCCGGCGGCUUAUUGCUGUUUGGUCACCGAAGUUUUGAAGAUGAUGAAGUUUUUGUACUCAGGUUUUGAAACUUAUGAAUUACCCCCUGUAACUUUGAAAAGUUACACUUUAAACCCUGGACAAAACUUUCAAAAGUUUACAAAAUAAACCUUUUGAUUUAAUUUUCUAAAAUUGUUUUAUUUAAUUAUUUUAAAUUCCAAAAAUAGUUUUUAAUUAUUUCUUUAUUCAAAAAUAAAUCUAAAUUAGUUUAUUAAUUAAUUUUAAUUAGUAAUUAAUUAUUUUAAUUGGUCAAUUAAUUUAAAUAUUAAUUGAUUAAUUAUUUUAAUUAAUUAUUAAUUGAUUUUAAUUGAUUAAUUAAUUGGAUUUAAUUAAUCCUUUUUGAUUUAAAAAUUCCGAAAAAUAGUUUCGAGCUUUAAAAUAUUUUUCCAAAUUAUUUUCAAGGCUCGAUAAUUGUUUAUGAAUGAUUUCAAGUCCAAUUUCAAGUAUUUGGGACUUGAUUAUUUAUUCGAAAAGUGAUUCUUUUAUCGAUUUUAAUUCCGAAAAAUGUUUAAAAAUUCUGGAAAAUUCCCGAAAAAUCAUUUUUAACCCAAGACUUGAUUUAAUAUCAAUUGGGAUGGGAAACCUUAUGUGUUGUGUGUUGUCUGCUAUUGGUUGGAUGUGUUAUGUGCCGAUAGGAGAGUGAGAAAACUGUUUUGAGCAUAACUUUUGAUCCGUAAGUCGGAAUCAAGUGAAACGAAAGAGAGACAGAAGCUUAUAACGUCUAUUUUAAUAUGAUGUGACUAUAUGGCUGAGUCUAUAAGGUGAAUAAUUGUUGAUAAGUAUGCAUAAUGUGAUAAUAUGUGAUCUAAGUGCUAUCAGGUGAUGAUUAUGUGAAGUACGUGUUAGUUUUGAUAUUGUGAAGUGAUAAAUGAUUCGUAUGAUUGAUAUUGGAUAAGAAUAUAUGGAUUAUAGCUAUUGGAUUUUGUUGGUUGAUUAAUGAUUGAGAUAGGAUAAUAGGUGGAUAGUCUUAUACAUAGACGAGACGAUGUCGGAUUUUCGAUAAGGAUUUAUAUGAUAAUUGAUUGGUGAUAUGUUAUGUGGAAUAUGAUUGACUAUAUGUUAGAGUUAAAGCAUGCUUAUGUGUUACGUGGUAUCUGAUAAGUUUAAAGGGAUAUAUAAGUGGGUAUUGAUAUACGUGAGAUGUAUAUGCGAUCGAUUGUUUAGUGAUUAUAGUGUUAUCUUAUUCUCGUAAAGGAUUUGGACGAGACGUGUAUGCCCGAAGACGUUCAGAAAGUCACGUGGUGUUACAAAGCGAAUAAGGGAUGAAUCGAGUAAGCGAAGCGAAGAUGUACGGUAGAUAGAGUAUAGCCAGAGAUGGUCUAGAGACUAUGAGAUGCAUAGAUUGUGAAAGUGGAAAGAUGAGAUUGAGAUGUGAGACUGGAGUCAGAUUUAAGGCAAGUAUCCUAAACCUUUCUCUUGGAUAUAUUGCAAAUAUUCUGAUCCAUUCCUUUGGUAUAUGUUUCAAGUAUUCAUACCUUUCUUUUCAAUGUUCGAAAGUGCGAGUAUUCUGACCCAUUCUUUCUAAUCUUCAAGUUUCUAAAGAAUUUCCGUUUUACAAAUUAAUUCGAAGUUCAGAUUGUCAUUGAAGCAUGUGUUGCUCAGUGAUAGUUAGAGCUUUGAAUGAAUUGGGAUCUUCUUGAUUAUUCAACCCGCCAUUGUCAUGCUGGUUUAGCAGGCUAAAUUCAGUUGCUUAGCCGAUAAUGGAGGAUACUGAAUAGUUGAGGAUUUCCUGAACUGUGAUUUAUGAAAUGAUGGAUCAUGAUUUAUGAAUAGAUUAUUAUCAAAGUUUGAAUUGGAAUUAUUCUGUUGUUGAUGAUAUUUAUGAUGAUGUUCUGUUAAUUUACAUUGGCUUCUUGAAUUGAAUUAGAGAAUUGGAUUAUUGUUUUUAUAUAAACCUGUGGACCAGAUUCGUGGUCAUGUUAGGCCAAUGAGUGCCUUGGAUCCAGUGAUAGAGCAUGGCGGGGCCUGCUCGGGGUUAGUGCGGAACUGAUCAGCUGCCUAACCUUGGUUUUAAUUAAAAUGUGAUAGUCCAAUUCAAUAAUUCUUUGGAAAGAUUGAAUUUCUCAGUUUAAAUGCUGCAAGGUAUUGUAAAUUAUUCUAUACAAUACCAUGAACUCAUGAACUCAGGUUGAAUCCUUUUAUAUCUUGAACUCGUGAACUUCUAUUAUAUCAUUUCAGAACUAUCAUUGUUUAUUAUUACUUGCUGAGCAUUGUUGCUCACCCUUGCUAUUCCUUUCUAACCAUUUCAGAAAGGCUUAAAGAUGAGAUGAUUGAUUGAGAUUGUGAGUAAGGCUAAUGCUAGGCGAGGAGACAGAGUUGAGGAUCCAGUGGUCGAGAAGUGUGCAAAAGGUUGAUGAGGUUGAUGCAAGCUAGAGCUGUGCUAUAGGGAUUCAAGUGUAAGUCAUAGCUGGAAUAGUUGACAGUGAUUCUUCUUAUCGAAGAUGAUCUGAUUUGGUAAGAGAUGUUGUGUAAUAAUAGUGGUAGAUUCUAAUUUCAAUACUGUAACCUGGAAGCGAUCCUGUUGUUUUGGGGGUGAAGAUGUUCUCUUUUAAAUCUUUUAUUUAACGUCUUUCAAAUCUUUUAUUAAAUGUUUUCAAGUUUUAAAUUCUCUGAAUUUCACGUUUUAAAUUCUUUUGGGUUUAAUUAUCUUUAAUAAUAAAAAAAAAAAAAAUAUACAGGAUUUCAAAAGUGUUUAAAAAUGGGUUUUAUGUGGUGACGUCAGAAUCCAGACCCCCGGAUUCCUGGACUGUCACACUGAAGGCUAAGGCGGCCAAAUUUUUUGUCGAAGGAGAAACACUCUUCCGCCGGACCUACUCAUCCCCAAUCCUGAAAUGCAUAGGUCCGGAGGAGGCCGA